rnacentral:rRNA from 1 species
UGAGGAAUAUUGGUCAAUGGGCGAGAGCCUGAACCAGCCAAGUAGCGUGCAGGAUGACGGCCCUAUGGGUUGUAAACUGCUUUUGUAUGGGGAUAAAGUCAAUCACGUGUGAUUGUUUGCAGGUACCAUACGAAUAAGGACCGGCUAAUUCCGUGCCAGCAGCCGCGGUAAUACGGAAGGUCCGGGCGUUAUCCGGAUUUAUUGGGUUUAAAGGGAGCGUAGGCUGGAGAUUAAGUGUGUUGUGAAAUGUAGACGCUCAACGUCUGACUUGCAGCGCAUACUGGUUUCCUUGAGUACGCACAACGUUGGCGGAAUUCGUCGUGUAGCGGUGAAAUGCUUAGAUAUGACGAAGAACUCCGAUUGCGAAGGCAGCUGACGGGAGCGCAACUGACGCUGAAGCUCGAAGGUGCGGGUAUCGAACAGGAUUAGAUACCCUGGUAGUCCGCACAGUAAACGAUGGAUGCCCGCUGUUGGUACUUGGUAUCAGCGGCUAAGCGAAAGCAUUAAGCAUCCCACCUGGGGAGUACGCCGGCNACGGUG